UACGUAGGGUCCGAGCGUUGUCCGGAAUUACUGGGCGUAAAGAGCUCGUAGGCGGUUUGUCGCGUCGAAUGUGAAAACCCGGGGCUCAACCCCGGGCCUGCAUUCGAUACGGGCAGAACUAGAGUUCGGUAGGGGAGUCUGGAAUUCCUGGUGUAGCGGUGAAAUGCGCAGAUAUCAAGGAGGAACACCGGGUGGCGAAGGCGGGACUCUGGGCCGAUACUGACGCUGAGGAGCGAAAGCGUGGGGAGCGAACAG
rnacentral:rRNA from 1 species